rnacentral:rRNA from 1 species
GUCGACUGGAAUUCUUCUUCGGAAGAUAGUACGGUGGCGGACGGGUGAGUAACGCGUAAAGAAUUUGCCCUUCAGACUGGGACAACUAAUCGAAAGGUUAGCUAAUACCGGAUAUUAUGAGACCUUGGCAUCAAGGACUUAUGAAAGCUAUAUGCGCUGGAGGAGAACUUUGCGUUCCAUUAGCUAGUUGGUAGGGUAAUGGCCUACCAAGGCGACGAUGGAUAGCCGGCCUGAGAGGGUGAACGGCCACAAGGGGACUGAGACACGGCCCUUACUCCUACGGGAGGCAGCAGUGGGGAAUAUUGGACAAUGGACCAAAAGUCUGAUCCAGCAAUUCUGUGUGCACGACGAAGGUCUUCGGAUUGUAAAGUGCUUUCAGGUGGGAAGAAGAAAGUGACGGUACCACCAGAAGAAGCGACGGCUAAA